ACUUGGAUAGCUCAGUCGGUAGAGCAUGAGGCUCUUAAUCUCAGGGUUGGGGGUUCGAGCCACAGGUUGGGCA